ACGAUGCUGUUUGACCAAAAACCUCAAAAAUGCAAUUUUCUUCGCUCCAAUUGGUUCCAAACUUUUUCCUAAGUGUAGGGACUUUAUCCUAAUCAUCUAGGGGUGUUUUUAUGAAAGAAUUAACCUUGUGAAAAGGUGGUCUAGUGAAUCUUUAUGUCGUAUUGUCUUAUGAAUUGUUGUGACCAUUCUUGUACGACUAAGUGGAAUUGUGUGAAUGAUAUUGUUGAUUGUUG
rnacentral:lncRNA from 1 species